rnacentral:tRNA from 1 species
GCGCUGAUGGUGAAGAGGGCCGCGGCGAUCUGCAUGCACCGGAUGCGGCCGAUGCGGUCGGCUAUGCGGCCGGCGGUCGCGGCGCCGACGGCGCA